rnacentral:rRNA from 1 species
AUAGGUCGGGGGUGUAAGCAUGGUAACAUGUUCAGCUGACCGAUACUAAUAGAUCGAGGGCUUGACCAAAUA